CUCCAAUAUUUACCAUUUUGACUUUUUAAAAUAAUAAUCCUAUAUAAUGUUAGUCCCCACAAUUUUUGCUGGGGGUGAUUUUGGUACCCAAGGGACAUUAGGCAAAUGCCUGGAGAGGGUUUUGUCACAACUUGAGGGGGGUGCUGCUGCCAUCUGGUGGCUGGAGGCCAGGAAUGCGGCUAAAUAUUCCAAAACAGGCCCUACAACAAAGCAUUUUCUGGCCCCCAAAUUAUCAACAGUACCCUGGUUCAACACCACAUGGAGUCCAACACCUCUGCCCCCUGGGCCCCUGUACACACCACCCCUGCUGCAUGGGGCACUGCCCCCAGCCUCCCGCACCUGACUCACUGGGAGUCGUCUCUAGGGUCUCACCAUGGAUGUCAUUUCCCGUCCCUGACCCUAAAGUCUGGAGUAGGUGUCCUCUACGUAUUUAUUUACAUAAACCCCUCUCCCUGUCAUGACGCUUAUGGCACUGCACGACCACUGCUUUGCUGACCUGCCUCUGACCGAGACCAACAAGAUGGCAAUUUGCAUCUGUCACUGGCAUUGCCAUACCCAGUGACUUGGUAUGCCUAGCGCAGUCAGGGCUCAAUACACUUUUCUUAAAGGAGUGAACAAAUGAAGACACAGAGAAUACAUGGAUCUCUUAAGAAAACAGAGAGGUAACCAGUUGAAGCAAGCUGACAAAGACAAAAAUGACAGAAUUACAGGACUGGGCUGAAACCAGAAAACUGAUCCCCUGAGUCUCAAUUCAGCUAAAGCUCCUUCAUCCAGAUACUUACAUAUACUGGUUGUUUCACUGUCUUCUUGCCCAAGGAAAUAAGAGGGACACCACCAAACCAGCGCAUAUCUGGCAGAAGAAAGAGAACAUUCUUAGAAGGCCUAAGCAGCCACCAUCUCCAGGUGCUCCAGAAAUUGCCAUCAACAAGGAAGACCUAGCAAAUGUGUCUGACAACAUAUGAUGCUACCCUCUUUGCCUUUCAAAAUCAACACCCGGGUGACUUGGCAACCAGACUGGAAGUGAGACAUCACGAAAGAAACCGGGGCUUCGUGUGACAAGGAGAGAUGAAGCUGAUAUUGAAGGCUGGCCCGGGGCCAGCUGCUGCUGUAACAGAAGCUACCCUCUGCAAUUAGCGCAGCACUCCUGAGCAGAGGGAGACUCCCCCAGCCUCAGUUAACAGAUGAGGAAGCUGCUCUGUCCCCAGACCCACCAGCGUCCUGGGGCUGCUUAGUCCCAGGGCCCAAGCUGCAGUCAGGUCCCUGACUCCCAGGUCCACGCUCUUUCUGGGCGCCAAAGCUGCUUCUUUGGGUGUAGAGUGACAAAGGUGACAAGGGGGACUCUAGGGACUGGGGAAACAGAACCUUUGGGGAGAAAAAGGCAACCGGAGGAAAACACGACAACCUGAGUCUGUCAAGGCAAAGCACAUCCCAACCUGUCCCAACCUUCCAACUGGUGAACCAGCUUCCCCUCUAUUGCUAAGCAAGAGGGACCUACUUGCAAAAUAAUUGAGGAAUCUGUCCUCUCUUCCAAAGA